UGCGAGCCAGAAUCUAGUGAAAU
rnacentral:miRNA from 1 species